GACGAACGCUGGCGGCGUGCCUAAUACAUGCAAGUUGAGCGAUGAAGAUUGGUGCUUGCACCAAUUUGAAGAGCAGCGAACGGGUGAGUAACGCGUGGGGAAUCUGCCUUUGAGCGGGGGACAACAUUUGGAAACGAAUGCUAAUACCGCAUAACAACUUUAAACAUAAGUUUUAAGUUUGAAAGAUGCAAUUGCAUCACUCAAAGAUGAUCCCGCGUUGUAUUAGCUAGUUGGUGAGGUAAAGGCUCACCAAGGCGAUGAUACAUAGCCGACCUGAGAGGGUGAUCGGCCACAUUGGGACUGAGACACGGCCCAAACUCCUACGGGAGACAGCAGUAGGGAAUCUUCGGCAAUAGACGAAAGUCUGACCGAGCAACGCCGCGUGAGUGAAGAAGGGUGUCGGAUCGUAAAACUCUGUUGGUAGAGAAGAACGUUGGUGAGAGUGGAAAGCUCAUCAAGUGACGGUAACUACCCAGAAAGGGACGGCUAACUACGUG
rnacentral:rRNA from 1 species